AGUGUGCUCCAGAUUCCCAUUUUGUCCCCCACACUGAGGUGAGCUUUAGUGACUCAUUUCUGCUCCUCUAAGUAGCCAGGCAACUAUAUUCCUGUAAGUAACCCCAAUAAAACUCAUUGGUUCACCGAGUUGGACUUUGGUGAUAUCCACACUGUGGGUUGUCACAGGCUCCCUAUCAAGUCAAUAGAUGUGUAUUAAAUCUUCUCAGGAAAAAAAAACUCUUGUCACACAAAAGUAAACCAGACCCACAAUGAGAAACACCACAUGGUCUUUCUCAUCUGAGGUUCCUAGCACCAAGUCUUCAAAUGGCAGCAUAUAGCCUGAAAUAACUGCAGAGACCAGGAAAAUAAAAAGAGAUGAUUUGUGGCAAUGGGGAUAGAGAGUUAACUGUGCCAACAGAGUAUCAGUUGUCUGAACAUGGUCAUGGCAGGAUGUAAAGUGAAUAUGUAAAAAAAUUAAGUUAAAAAACAAACAAACAUGGAAUUGCGUGUGAGGAGAUUUCUGAGUGAGAAAACUAAGAAACGAAGACAAAAGUCUGGUGACCUGAGUUUCUUCAGAAACAAGGAAUUGUUCUUGGAUUAUGCUUUUGCGCCCCUUUCAGGUGUAGCACAAAAGAGUGAGUUUACAUCAGAUUAUUCAUUCCGAAUGGCUAUUUUUAUUUGUUUAUACUAUUAUUUACUUAUAUGGAAAAACAUUUUGCUUUAUGCUGCUUGUAUCCAUAUGAUGAACUGUCUCUGAGGUAUUGAAAUCACCUCCUAUUACUGAAAUGGGAAUAAAUUUGUACCUUGACAUCUAAUACUUUGAUUUUUAUGAAACUGGAUGUAUCAGAGGUUGGUACGUACAUGUUUAGGAUUGUAAUGUCUUCUUUGUUAAUUGUUCUUUUGAUCAAAGUGAAGUGUCAUUCUAUAUCUCUUCUGAAUAAUUUUAGAUUGACAUUUAUAUUGUCAUGUAUUAGGAUAGCAGCAACUUUUUGUUUCUUGGUCCUAUUUGCUUGGACUAAUUUUUUUUCAUACUUCACUCUCAAGUAGCACCAAUCCUUGAAGUUAAGAUGAGGGGUUUUUUUUCCAAGAAAACAAAAAAAAUGUUUUGUUUGUUGAUUUAUUCAACCAACCUCUGUCUUUCUAUUGGGGGAAAUUAAGGCCAUUAAUAUUUAAAGU
rnacentral:lncRNA from 1 species